GGAAAGGCGCGCGAUACAGGGUGACAGCCCCGUACACAAAAAUGCACAUGCUGUGAGCUCGAUGAGUAGGGCGGGACACGUGGUAUCCUGUCUGAAUAUGGGGGGACCAUCCUCCAAGGCUAAAUACUCCUGACUGACCGAUAGUGAACCAGUACCGUGAGGGAAAGGCGAAAAGAACCCCGGCGAGGGGAGUGAAAAAGAACCUGAAACCGUGUACGUACAAGCAGUGGGAGCACGCUUAGGCGUGUGACUGCGUACCUUUUGUAUAAUGGGUCAGCGACUUAUAUUCUGUAGCAAGGUUAACCGAAUAGGGGAGCCGAAGGGAAACCGAGUCUUAACUGGGCGUUAAGUUGCAGGGUAUAGACCCGAAACCCGGUGAUCUAGCCAUGGGCAGGUUGAAGGUUGGGUAACACUAACUGGAGGACCGAACCGACUAAUGUUGAAAAAUUAGCGGAUGACUUGUGGCUGGGGGUGAAAGGCCAAUCAAACCGGGAGAUAGCUGGUUCUCCCCGAAAGCUAUUUAGGUAGCGCCUCGUGAAUUCAUCUCCGGGGGUAGAGCACUGUUUCGGCAAGGGGGUCAUCCCGACUUACCAACCCGAUGCAAACUGCGAAUACCGGAGAAUGUUAUCACGGGAGACACACGGCGGGUGCUAACGUCCGUCGUGAAGAGGGAAACAACCCAGACCGCCAGCUAAGGUCCCAAAGUCAUGGUUAAGUGGGAAACGAUGUGGGAAGGCCCAGACAGCCAGGAUGUUGGCUUAGAAGCAGCCAUCAUUUAAAGAAAGCGUAAUAGCUCACUGGUCGAGUCGGCCUGCGCGGAAGAUGUAACGGGGCUAAACCAUGCACCGAAGCUGCGGCAGCGACGCUUAUGCGUUGUUGGGUAGGGGAGCGUUCUGUAAGCCUGUGAAGGUGUGCUGUGAGGCAUGCUGGAGGUAUCAGAAGUGCGAAUGCUGACAUAAGUAACGAUAAAGCGGGUGAAAAGCCCGCUCGCCGGAAGACCAAGGGUUCCUGUCCAACGUUAAUCGGGGCAGGGUGAGUCGACCCCUAAGGCGAGGCCGAAAGGCGUAGUCGAUGGGAAACAGGUUAAUAUUCCUGUACUUGGUGUUACUGCGAAGGGGGGACGGAGAAGGCUAUGUUGGCCGGGCGACGGUUGUCCCGGUUUAAGCGUGUAGGCUGGUUUUCCAGGCAAAUCCGGAAAAUCAAGGCUGAGGC
rnacentral:rRNA from 1 species